GCUGGGAACAGAAGCCAUUUUGUGAAGCUCAGUGGUUGUCAAAGAUGAACUGGAACUAAAAUUGCACAUUUUGGUAUCAAGAUGGUGCUGCCUUCACAGAAUGAGUUAAGAAGGAGGCCUUCUUCCUCAAUAUUUUUGGAAGAGUUUUGAUAUGUGAUUGAGUUAAGAAUGACAAAAGAAAUCCAUACAGCCCGAAAACUGGCAUCUUGCACUUAUGAAAACUUGGACAGCAUUUUUCUAAAGACGGAUGAAUUUAAGGUUAUAGAGUACCUCCUGCAGGAGAUUCCUGAAUGAAACUGGAACUGAAUGAGAAUUGUAAGCAACCCACCAUGGUGUGCUACUUACUGGAUCCUUUCAGAGCAUCUGCUGACCUCAUGUUAGUGAACUAUUCAUCGUCUCACUCCACUAUGCCUCCUGCCCCACAUCCACAACACAUAAAGCAUGUUAUUUUUGGUCCUAUUAAUUGUGAAAUCUAGGAAACUGAGUCAUAGACUUUGAUUUAAUUUGUCAUUGAUGCAGUCUAAUUUUUAGCAGUGCUGGAAAGAGAUAGACUAAUGGAAACUUUGAAUAAAUAUUUUUAACACACCAUUGUUAGAUCUUCUGAGAUAAUGUCCAUAACUUUAAACCAGUAUGUUACAAGUCUAAAAUUUGGGAGUUUAUCAAUUACAUAGAAAUGAGAAAUUAUGAAAUAUGAUAUUGAUAUAUCAGGCUGGUUCUUUUUGCAGCCAGCUGGAUCAUAUAAUUAUAGCAGAAUUACCAACUUGUUCAAACUCUGGUUUUUUUUUCUCAUAUGCCAGAUAAACAUCCUAAAUAGUCUGGAGGAACUAAUGCUGAGUAGUGAGAUACAAAUCACUGAAGGAAACUUUUAACUGCUAAUAUUUCAAAGUUUUUCUUUGGAAAAACAUGGAAAUGUGAAUGAUUUCUGAUCUGUGUAAUACUUAAGUGCAUUUUGCUUGCCUUUCAGGCAAUUUAUUCUACUUAGCACAAGAUAGUAUAUAUUAUCAUAAAUUAAGAUGAUUUCAGAAAGAUGGAAAACUAGUUCAAAAAAGCAAUUCUUUAAAAGUUCACACGCAAUUCUAGAGCAUUUAGAAAGAGGACUUUGGAGAUUUAAGAGUAACAAGCUUUGUGUUAGUAGUGGUAUAAGCCUGGCCCUGUUUACAAGUAAAUCAAUAACAAAAUCAGCCUAUUACCACAUCUACAGUUUUAAUAGAUAAUUGCACUAUGGGACUUGUCUUUUUAAAAAGAAAAUCUUGAGUUUGUAGCUUAACUUUUGAAAUUUGUACUAAAAUAAAUGCAUCUAUGAAAUCUACAAA